UACGUAGGUGGCAAGCGUUGUCCGGAAUUAUUGGGCGUAAAGCGCGCGCAGGCGGUUCCUUAAGUCCGAUGUGAAAGCCCACGGCUCAACCGUGGAGGGUCAUUGGAAACUGGGGAACUUGAGUGCAGAAGAGGAAAGUGGAAUUCCAUGUGUAGCGGUGAAAUGCGUAGAGAUGUGGAGGAACACCAGUGGCGAAGGCGACUUUCUGGUCUGUAACUGACGCUGAGGCGCGAAAGCGUGGGGAGCAAACAGG
rnacentral:rRNA from 1 species